rnacentral:misc_RNA from 1 species
CAAAUCAUCUAGAAGAUUGAAGUAUAAAUGCCUCCAUCUUCUGUUAAACACUAAAGGACCCACUACGACCCAAAACCCCACCACAAAUCCAGGUGCAAUGCUCACAUAGAAAUAGAACCAAUAAAAUGAUUUAGGGCCUUUAUCAUCUUCUCCUCUUUCUGUCCCAAUGGGAUGUGUAGCACCAUCAACACUGCAGUUCUUGGUGAGUGGAGGCCCACAAAGUUUGUUGCCACUGAAACUAGAUGGAUCAAAGCUUUGCAAUUGAGUGCUUGUAGGAAUGAUUCCUGAUAACUUGUUGUUGGAUAGGUUCAAGUAACUCAAAAAUGUCAAGCUUGACAUACUUGGCGGAAUUUCUCCAACAAGUUGAUUUUGAGAAAAAUCAAGAGAUUCUAGUUUUUGCAUAUUUCCUAUUUCCUCUGGAAUUCUUCCACUCAAAAGAUUAUGUGACAAAUUCA